UAAUUACUCCCUCCGUUCGGAAUUACUUGUCUUGAAAAUGGAUAUAUCUAGAACUAAAAUACAUCUAGAUACAUCCAUUUCCGCGACAAGUAAUUCCGAACGGAGGGAGUACUUA
rnacentral:pre_miRNA from 1 species